rnacentral:tRNA from 1 species
CAAAAUAUAGCUUAAUUAUAGCAUCUUGCUUACACCAAGAAAAUACUUGUUAAACUCAAGUUAUUUUGA